AUAAAUCCACUUUAAGAAGUCGAAGUAUUCAGAGUACAACAUAAGUGCUCAACAAUGACUACAAGCAACUGCCUACUGGCAGUCACAACAGAAGUCCCAGGCUUUUAUUAUAUCACAAGGAUACACUUGAGCCUGGUGACUACUCACAUAUCAAGAGCAAGAAACGCCAAGAGGCAGGAAGUGCACGCAAGGAAGCUGCGCUCUAGGUAGCUAUGCCCUUCUCCUCUCCUCCGCGGUGGUAUAGAUGGAGAUUGGGGCUCCACGCACUCUAGUCUCACUGCCCACCAUCAACAUCCAUUCCCCUCUGCAAAUACUCAGAACUAUACUUUAAGUACACAUCGUGCACUUGAGUCUCAUCCUGAGACGUUGCAGAGGGAGUGAGCAGUCGGCACGACGCCUCUAUCCUCGACCAGACAACUUGAUAAAGAUCGUGAAGCUCAUCAUCCUUCACUUGCGAGCUCCAGCAUGGUUACUACCAGAAAGCAGGGGG
rnacentral:lncRNA from 1 species